AUUGAACGCUAGCGGGAUGCUUUACACAUGCAAGUCGAACGGCAGCGCGGACUUCGGUCUGGCGGCGAGUGGCGAACGGGUGAGUAAUGUAUCGGAACGUGCCCAGUAGCGGGGGAUAACUACGCGAAAGCGUAGCUAAUACCGCAUACGCCCUACGGGGGAAAGCAGGGGACCGUAAGACCUUGCACAAUUGGAGCGGCCGAUAUCGGAUUAGCUAGUUGGUGAGGUAACGGCUCACCAAGGCGACGAUCCGUAGCUGGUUUGAGAGGACGACCAGCCAGACUGGGACUGAGGCACGGCCCAGACUCCGACGGGAGGCAACAGUGGGGAAUUUUUGACGAGGGGGGCAACCCGGAUCCAGGCAACCCGGCUGGUGCAUGAAGGACCUCUGGUUGGUAAGCAAUUUUGGCCAGAAAGAAACCUCGCGGGCUUAUCCCCCGUGGAAAUGACGGUACCUGGAGAAUAAGCCCCGGCUAACUCCGUG
rnacentral:rRNA from 1 species